rnacentral:rRNA from 1 species
GUUUGAUCCUGGCUCAGAACGAACGCUGGCGGCACGCCUAACACAUGCAAAGUCGAGCGCACCUUCGGGUGAGCGGCGGACGGGUUAGUAACGCGUGGGAACAUACCCUUCUCUAAGGAAUAGCCACUGGAAACGGUGAGUAAUACCUUAUACGCCCUUCGGGGGAAAGAUUUAUCGGAGAUGGAUUGGCCCGCGUUAGAUUAGAUAGUUGGUGGGGUAAUGGCCUACCAAGUCUACGAUCUAUAGCUGGUUUUAGAGGAUGAUCAGCAACACUGGGACUGAGACACGGCCCAGACUCCUACGGGAGGNGCGGUGGGGAAUCUUAGACNAUGGGCGCAAGCCUGAUCUAGCGAUGCCGCGUGUGUGAUGAAGGUCUUAGGAUCGUAAAGCNCUNUCACCGGGGAUGAUAAUGACNGUACCUGAAAAGAAACCCCGGCUAACUCCGUGCCAGCAGCCGCGGUAAUAAGG